GAUGAACGCUAGCUACAGGCUUAACACAUGCAAGUCGAGGGGCAGCAUUUCGCUAGCAAUAGUGAAGAUGGCGACCGGCGCACGGGUGAGUAACACGUAUCCAACCUGCCGAUAACUCGGGGAUAGCCUUUCGAAAGAAAGAUUAAUAUCCGAUGGUAUAUUAAAACCGCAUGGUUUUACUAUUAAAGAAUUUCGGUUAUCGAUGGGGAGUGCGUUCCAUUAGUUUGUUGGCGGGGUAACGGCCCACCAAGACUACGAUGGAUAGGGGUUCUGAGAGGAAGGUCCCCCACCAUUGGAACUGAGACACGGUCCAAACUCCUACGGGGAGGCAGCAGUGAGGAAUAUUGGUCAAUGGGCGAGAGCCUGAACCAGCCAAGUAGCGUGAGGGAUGAAGGCUCUAUGGGUCGUAAACCUCUUUUNUAUGGGAAUAAAGUUUUCCACGUGUGGAAUUUUGUAUGUACCAUAUGAAUAAGGAUCGGCUAACUCCGUG
rnacentral:rRNA from 1 species